rnacentral:rRNA from 1 species
AACGUAGGAGACAAACGUUAUCCGGAGUUACUGGGCGUAAAGGGCGCGUAGGCGGCCUUCUAAGUCGGACGUGAAAUCCCUCGGCUUAACCGAGGAACUGCGUCCGAUACUGAAAGGCUUGAAUCCGGGAGAGGGAUGUGGAAUUCCAGGUGUAGCGGUGAAAUGCGUAGAUAUCUGGAGGAACACCGGUGGCGAAGGCGGCAUCCUGGACCGGCAUUGACGCUGAGGCGCGAAAGCUAGGGGAGCAAACGGG